rnacentral:rRNA from 1 species
UACGGAGGAUCCGAGCGUUAUCCGGAUUUAUUGGGUUUAAAGGGUGCGCAGGCGGGAGAUUAAGUCGGCGGUGAAAUUUUGCAGCUCAACUGUAAAAGUGCCUUCGAUACUGGUUUCCUUGAGUGUGGAUGAAGUAGGCGGAAUUUGUGGUGUAGCGGUGAAAUGCUUAGAUAUCACGAGGAACUCCGAUUGCGCAGGCAGCUUACUAAACCACUACUGACGCUCAGGCACGAAGGCGUGGGGAUCAAACAGGAUUAGAUACCCUGGUA